AUAUGAUGAACUCUUUAGAUGACGAGUCUGACUUUUGGCGGUGACAAGAGAGUCUUUCUCGACGUCCCGUCGCUCCAUGACGAGUCCUUUCUAAAUACCAUUCAUGCAGUUCUGAAA
rnacentral:snoRNA from 1 species